rnacentral:lncRNA from 1 species
CCUCUUCACGUGCACGGAUCGCAUAAGCUUUGGCGAAAGCUUGAGCUUCAGAUAGAACUGCUGUGUCUUUGGCCCCACUUCUGCUGACUUCUGCAGCACCACUAUUUCUUGGACUUCUGCCUUUGGUAGAAGUAACAACAAGUUUUGCUUUCCAAUCUAUGUUUGCCUCAAUUCGCUUCGGUCAAUCUCUUUUGAAAGGACCGGGAGAUCCACAAAUAAAGCAGGAUUUGUCAUUCUUCCCACAUACACUGAAGUGAUUUUGGCCACAUUCACUACAUUCUGGGUUGUUUACAUUACGGAUGCUACCCAUGCUAGUCAUUGAAGGUGCC